GAUGAACGCUAGCGGGAGGCCUAACACAUGCAAGCCGAGCGGUAUUGUUUCUUCGGAAAUGAGAGAGCGGCGUACGGGUGCGGAACACGUGUGCAACCUGCCUUUAUCUGGGGGAUAGCCUUUCGAAAGGAAGAUUAAUACUCCAUAACAUAUUGAACGGCAUCGUUUGAUAUUGAAAGCUCCGGCGGAUAGAGAUGGGCACGCGCAAGAUUAGCUAGUUGGUGAGGUAACGGCUCACCAAGGCGAUGAUCUUUAGGGGGCCUGAGAGGGUGAUCCCCCACACUGGUACUGAGACACGGACCAGACUCCUACGGGAGGCAGCAGUGAGGAAUAUUGGUCAAUGGGUGCAAGCCUCAACCAGCCAUCCCGCGUGAAGGACGACUGCCCUAUGGGUUGUAAACUUCUUUUGUAUAGGGAUAAACCUACCCUCGUGAGGGUAGCUGAAGGUACUAUACGAAUAAGCACCGGCUAACUCCGUGCCAGCAGCCGCCGCCGUAA
rnacentral:rRNA from 1 species